CCUACGGGUGACAGCAGUGAGGAAUAUUGGUCAAUGCUCGUAAGAGUGACGCAGCGACGCCGCGUGAAUGACGAAGGCCUUCGGGUCGUAAAGUUCUUUCGACAGGGAAGAAAAUGCCUAUAAGUAACUGUGUAUGUGUUGACGGUACCUGUAUAAGCAGCCCCGGCUAACGCCGUGCCAGGAGCCGCGGUGAUACGGAGGGGGCGAGCGUUGUUCGGAGUGACUGGGCGUAAAGAGCACGUAGGCGGUGUUGUAAGUCAUUAGUCAAAGACUAGAGCUCAACUUUAGUAAGGCGAGUGAUACUAUAAUACUAGAGUAUCAGAGAGGAUUGCAGAAUUCGUGGUGUAGCGGUGAAAUGCGUAGAUAUCAGGAGGAAUACCGUUAGCGAAGGCGGCAAUCUGGCUGGAAACUGACGCUGAGGUGCGAAAGCGUGGGUAGCAAACAGGAUUAGAUACCCGGGUAGUC
rnacentral:rRNA from 1 species